rnacentral:rRNA from 1 species
UACAGAGGUGGCAAGCGUUGUUCGGAAUUACUGGGCGGAAAGGGCGCGUAGGCGGCCUUCUAAGUCAGACGUGAAAUCCCCCGGCUUAACCUGGGAACUGCGUCUGAUACUGGAAGGCUUGAGUGCGGGAGAGGGAUGUGGAAUUCCAGGUGUAGCGGUGAAAUGCGUAGAUAUCUGGAGGAACACCGGUGGCGAAGGCGGCAUCCUGGACCGACACUGACGCUGAGGCGCGAAAGCGUGGGGAGCAAACAGG